AGAUUACCAGUUUUCCUGUAACAGUUGUGGAAGACACUUUGCUCACAGCAUGGUGGUGAUGCACAAAUGCUAGCCUUGGACUCCUGACUAGAAGUGUGGGAUGACUCAUAUGUCAGGUCACCAGAGCCAGGCCUGCCAGAGGAUGUUUACCUGUGCAUGGCCAGAUGCUCUGGACAGCAGAAAGCCACAUUGGGAUAAAGACUGAGGAAGAAAGGACAGCAUGAGAAAACAAUGCCAGGAGAAUAGAGACAUAACAGGUGCAGGAUUGCAGCCAGCAGCUUGCUGAUGUCCCAGUGCUCAGAAUCUGAGAACAUGAGGAUCUUCAUAGCCGAGCGGAUGUGGGCAUAAUCCUUUGCGUCAUUCCGGCUGUCACAGGACAUGCAGUUGCCCUGCAAGACACCACACCCACAGCAAACUGCUUGGAAACCACUUUACAAGAUGAGUGGACACUACAGGACCAGAAAAUAAUCUUUGGCACUUACUCCAGGUUCAGUGUAGCUGCACUGUAUGAUAGGACAGACAACAAAAAGCCUCCAUGUCAGAGACAGAUUCUUGGGGCUUCUGCUAUAGUCCCAUAUCCAAAUCAGAGCCUCAGCGCAGCUGGAAUUUGGGACAGUGGCUUGCCAUCACUGCAAAACAUGACACAUAUUUAUAAAUGACU